UACGGAGGGAGCUAGCGUUGUUCGGAAUUACUGGGCGUAAAGCGCACGUAGGCGGCUUUGUAAGUUAGAGGUGAAAGCCCGGGGCUCAACCCCGGAACUGCAUCCGAUACUGCCAUGCUAGAGGAUUGGAGAGGUAGCUGGAAUUCUUGGUGUAGCAGUGAAAUGCGUAGAGAUCAAGAGGAACACUCGUGGCGAAAGCGAGCUACUGGACAAUUCCUGACGCUGAGGCUCGAAGGCUAGGGUAGCGAAAGGG
rnacentral:rRNA from 1 species